rnacentral:rRNA from 1 species
GAAGGUCUUCGGAUCGUAAAACUCUGUUGUUAGGGAAGAACAAGUAUCGACCGAAUAAGUCGGUACCUUGACGGUACCUAACCAGAAAGCCCCGGCUAACUACGUGCCAGCAGCCGCGGUAAUACGUAGGAGGCGAGCGUUGUCCGGAAUUAUUGGGCGUAAAGGGCGCGCAGGCGGUCUUUUAAGUCUGAUGUGAAAUCUCGUAGCUUAACUACGAGCGGUCAUUGGAAACUGGAAGACUUGAGGACAGAAGAGGAGAGUGGAAUUCCACGUGUAGCGGUGAAAUGCGUAGAGAUGUGGAGGAACACCAGUGGCGAAGGCGACUCUCUGGUCUGUAACUGACGCUGAGGCGCGAAAGCGUGGGGAGCGAACAGGAUUAGAUACCCUGGUAGUCCACGCCGUAAACGAUGAGUGCUAGGUGUUAGGGGGUUUCCGCCCCUUAGUGCUGCAGUUAACGCAUUAAGCACUCCGCCUGGGGAGUACGGCCGCAAGGCUGAAACUCAAAAGAAUUGACGGGGGCCCGCACAAGCGGUGGAGCAUGUGGUUUAAUUCGAAGCAACGCGAAGAACCUUACCAGGUCUUGACAUCCCUUUGACUGUCCUAGAGAUAGGGCUUUCCCUUCGGGGACAAAGGUGACAGGUGGUGCAUGGUUGUCGUCAGCUCGUGU